rnacentral:rRNA from 1 species
GACGAACGCUGGCGGCGUGCCUAAUACAUGCAAGUCGAACGCACAGUUUAUACCGUAGCUUGCUACACCAUAAACUGUGAGUUGCGAACGGGUGAGUAACGCGUAGGUAACCUGCCUGGUAGCGGGGGAUAACUAUUGGAAACGAUAGCUAAUACCGCAUAAUAUUAAUUAUUGCAUGAUAAUUGAUUGAAAGAUGCAAUUGCAUCACUACCAGAUGGACCUGCGUUGUAUUAGCUAGUAGGUGAGGUAACGGCUCACCUAGGCGACGAUACAUAGCCGACCUGAGAGGGUGAUCGGCCACACUGGGACUGAGACACGGCCCAGACUCCUACGGGAGGCAGCAGUAGGGAAUCUUCGGCAAUGGACGAAAGUCUGACCGAGCAACGCCGCGUGAGUGAAGAAGGUUUUCGGAUCGUAAAGCUCUGUUGUAAGAGAAGAACGGGUGUGAGAGUGGAAAGUUCACACUGUGACGGUAGCUUACCAGAAAGGGACGGCUAACUACGUG